rnacentral:rRNA from 1 species
GAUGAACGCUAGCUACAGACUUAACACAUGCAAGUCGAGGGGAAACGGCAUCGAAAGCUUGCUUUUGAUGGGCGUCGACCGGCGCACGGGUGAGUAACGCGUAUCCAACCUGCCCAUCACUUGGGAAUAACCUUGCGAAAGUAAGACUAAUGCCCAAUGACAUCCCACGAAGGCAUCCGAAUGGGGUUAAAGAUUUAUCGGUGAUGGAUGGGGAUGCGUCUGAUUAGCUUGUUGGCGGGGUGACGGCCCACCAAGGCAACGAUCAGUAGGGGUUCUGAGAGGAAGGUCCCCCACAUUGGAACUGAGACACGGUCCAAACUCCUACGGGAGGCAGCAGUGAGGAAUAUUGGUCAAUGGGCGAGAGCCUGAACCAGCCAAGUAGCGUGCAGGAUGACGGCCCUAUGGGUUGUAAACUGCUUUUAUAAGGGAAUAAAGUGGGUCACGUGUGACUUUUUGCAUGUACCUUAUGAAUAAGGACCGGCUAAUUCCGUG